rnacentral:rRNA from 1 species
GGCGAACGGGUGCGUAACGCGUAUGCAACCUACCUUUUUCAGAGGAAUAGCCCAGAGAAAUUUGGAUUAAUACCUCAUAACAAUAUUUAUUCGCAUGAUUAAAUAUUUAAAGCUUCGGCGGAAAAAGAUGGGCAUGCGUAACAUUAGUUUGUUGGUGAGGUAAUGGCUCACCAAGACUACGAUGUUUAGGGGGUCUGAGAGGAUGAUCCCCCACACUGGUACUGAGACACGGACCAGACUCCUACGGGAGGCAGCAGUGAGGAAUAUUGGUCAAUGGACGAAAGUCUGAACCAGCCAUGCCGCGUGAAGGAUGACUGCCCUAUGGGUUGUAAACUUCUUUUGUAUAGGAAGAAACCCCUCUACGUGUAGAGGGCUGACGGUACUAUUCGAAUAAGCACCG